AUUCAAGACAACUUAGCGCGCGUUUGGGUGGAUAUUGGAACUAGUGAACCGUUGCUUCUAGACGUAUUAGUAAAUGCCUUGACCUGCAUAAGCUCUGACCCGUUCACGCAACAGCUAUGUAGGGAUCAAGCAGUUGGUUUUUGGCGGCUCAGAGUUUGAGAACUGGAAGG